UAUGUGAUCGUCUCUCGCAUAUCAAUAAGCGGAGGAAAAGAAACUAACAAGGAUUCCCCUAGUAACGGCGAGUGAAGCGGGAAGAGCUCAAAUUUGAAAUCUUAAAGGGUUUCCCUUUACGAAUUGUAGUUUAAAGAAGUGUUUUCUGUUGAGGUUUUGGUAAAAGUUCUUUGGAAUAGGACAUCAUAGAGGGUGAGAAUCCCGUAUUUGGACCUUUACUUUCAACUUUGUGAUACACUUUCAAAGAGUCGGAUUGUUUGGGAAUGCAGUCCAAAAUGGGUGGUAAAUUUCAUCUAAAGCUAAAUAUUGGCGAGAGACCGAUAGCGAACAAGUACCGUGAGGGAAAGAUGAAAAGAACUUUGAAAAGAGAGUUAAACAGUACGUGAAAUUGUCAAAAGGGAAGCGUUUGACACCAGUGUUGUUUUUCUGAAAAUCAAUUAAAGAACUGUUUAUGCUAAGCUGUUUAGACUUUAUCAGCUAAUCUGUUUAGUUUUGAGCUUUUCUUUAAUGCACUUUUCAGUUAACAAGUCAACAUCAAUUUCUUUUGCUGUAAAAAAGCUUGAGGAAGGUGGCUUGAGAUUCGUCUUAAGUGUUUAUAGCCUCUUGCCUAUGCAGUCGAAGAGAUUGAGGUCUGCAGCGUAGAUCCUUCGGGGCUAAAUGCAUUUGUGCUAAGUUAUAGCAUUUUAUAGACAACUUGUUGACUAUGAUUUGUCUUGUAGCUUACUCGCUUAUGUUAUUUUACCUACGCUUAGGAUGUUGAGCGCAUGUCUCUCUCU
rnacentral:rRNA from 1 species